rnacentral:rRNA from 1 species
AUGCUGCGCAGCUUCCCCCAGGCCCGUCGGCUUCUGAAGAGGCUGGGUUUUGAGAAGGGGGACGCCUACUUCUUUAAGCAGAUGGGCAAGGGCAUGCUAUGCACAUAUGCGCUUUUUGGCGCCGCGUGGUUCUGGAAUGAGACAUCACCGCUUGGCUGGUGGACGCUCAAGCCACGGCCCAAGGAAGAGAAGGAGAUGGCGCAUCUGUACGAUCGCAGGGAGUUCCCGUACCCGGGCGACGAGGAGGCGGUGGAGGAGUUCAUAAAGAGCGGGGGCGCCCUGGGCACGACGAUCGGGCCCAAGGGGUUCGCGGACGCCAACAUGGACUCGGACAACAUGCAGAAGCAGCUGCAGUCGAAGAAGUUUGACCAGGAGGCGCGCAAGCUGUGGUUCCGGAUGCGCAACGAGGUGGUGCAGGAGCUCCAGGAGAAGGGGUUCGACGUCGAAUGA